AGUAACGCGUGGAUAACCUGCCUCACACUGGGGGAUAACAGUUAGAAAUGACUGCUAAUACCGCAUGAGCGCACAGUACCGCAUGGUACGGUGUGAAAAACUCCGGUGGUGUGAGAUGGAUCCGCGUCUGAUUAGCCAGUUGGCGGAGUAACGGCCCACCAAAGCGACGAUCAGUAGCCGACCUGAGAGGGUGACCGGCCACAUUGGGACUGAGACACGGCCCAA
rnacentral:rRNA from 1 species